AUCGUCAAGGUCAACUGAAGAAUUAUUUCAUGCAUCUGGCAUGUUAUUAUUCUUGUUAAAAUACCAUGAACUUGCUACUGUAAGGAGCCCACUCACCUGUACAUCAACUACAAUAUAUAUAUAACAAUUUUACAUCAUUCCGCCAUAUUCAAAAUAAAUUAGGUCAAUUUAUUUUCUACUUACCUUGUCACAAGCAUUGCGUUGAUGAUUUCUGAGCUGAAUAAUUUUCUGACCACCUGAACCUUGUAACUAGAAUUUUCUUGUAGUAGCUUCUUGGUUGUAGAUGAUUGGACACUAUGGGAUGGAAGUAGGAGUACCGUAAACAUGAUAUAUUCCAUUGUUCCUCAGCAGGGACCAUUGUUCCUAAGCAGGGAGGCAGAAUUCGGAAAGAUUGAACCCAUACUUAUUCCAUUGUUCAAAAUGCAGUAUGGUUCAAUUGGAUGGUUCAAUACAUUGAUGAUGCAAAGCUUCCAGGUUUUAGUAUAGUCCCCAAGGAGGACUAGCGGAGCUGUACAGUGUUUCUGGUCAUGUUGAAUGAUUAAGAAGUUAUGAAAUUCCAUUCGUAAUUUUUUGGGCAGCAUUAAUCGAUUGUUGCCAUUUUUUUCAGCAAGCAAAUAACAGAGGAUCAAAUUUUGUGGGGCCAGAUAUAUUAAUAAAUAAAUUUAAAUAGGAUUUCUUUUAGGGUUUUCCUUGAGUAGAUAAAAUUAAGGACUUGUGGUAAACAUGGAUCAUGUGACUAACAUAUAUGGCGUGUUCAAAAAAGCAGAUAUGCACUUAGGUGCUUCGUGUUUGA